rnacentral:rRNA from 1 species
ACGAACGCUGGCGGCGUGCUUCACACAUGCAAGUCGAACGGAAAGGCCCUGCUUUUGUGGGGUGCUCGAGUGGCGAACGGGUGAGUAACACGUGAGUAACCUGCCCUUGACUUUGGGAUAACUUCAGGAAACUGGGGCUAAUACCGGAUAGGAGCUCCUGCUGCAUGGUGGGGGUUGGAAAGUUUCGGCGGUUGGGGAUGGACUCGCGGCUUAUCAGCUUGUUGGUGGGGUAGUGGCUUACCAAGGCUUUGACGGGUAGCCGGCCUGAGAGGGUGACCGGCCACAUUGGGACUGAGAGACGGCCCAGACUCCUACGGGAGGCAGCAGUGGGGAAUAUUGCACAAUGGGCGGAAGCCUGAUGCAGCAACGCCGCGUGCGGGAUGACGGCCUUCGGGUUGUAAACCGCUUUCGCCUGUGACGAAGCGUGAGUGACGGUAAUGGGUAAAGAAGCACCGGCUAACUACGUG